rnacentral:rRNA from 1 species
GAGCCGCGGUAAGACGGAGGGCGCAAGCGUUGUUCGGAAUUACUGGGCGUAAAGCGCGGGCAGGCGGUCUGUUAAGUCUGAUGUGAAAGCCCCCGGCUCAACCGGGGAGGGUCAUUGGAAACUGGGGAACUUGAGUGCAGAAGAGAAGAGCGGAAUUCCACGUGUAGCGGUGAAAUGCGUAGAGAUGUGGAGGAACACCAGUGGCGAAGGCGGCUCUUUGGUCUGUAACUGACGCUGAGGCGCGAAAGCGUGGGGAGCAAAC